rnacentral:rRNA from 1 species
GACGAACGCUGGCGGCGUGCUUAACACAUGCAAGUCGAACGGAAAGGCCCUGCUUUUGUGGGGUGCUCGAGUGGCGAACGGGUGAGUAACACGUGAGUAACCUGCCCUUGACUUUGGGAUAACUUCAGGAAACUGGGGCUAAUACCGGAUAGGAGCUCCUGCUGCAUGGUGGGGGUUGGAAAGUUUCGGCGGUUGGGGAUGGACUCGCGGCUUAUCAGCUUGUUGGCGGGGUAGUGGCUUACCAAGGCUUUGACGGGUAGCCGGCCUGAGAGGGUGACCGGCCACAUUGGGACUGAGAUACGGCCCAGACUCCUACGGGAGGCAGCAGUGGGGAAUAUUGCACAAUGGGCGGAAGCCUGAUGCAGCAACGCCGCGUGCGGGAUGACGGCCUUCGGGUUGUAAACCGCUUUCGCCUGUGACGAGGCGUGAGUGACGGUAAUGGGUAAAGAAGCACCGGCUAACUACGUG